rnacentral:rRNA from 1 species
UACGGAGGGAGCUAGCGUUGUUCGGAAUUACUGGGCGUAAAGCGCACGUAGGCGGCUUUGUAAGUUAGAGGUGAAAGCCCGGGGCUCAACCCCGGAAUUGCCUUUAAGACUGCAUCGCUUGAAUCCAGGAGAGGUGAGUGGAAUUCCGAGUGUAGAGGUGAAAUUCGUAGAUAUUCGGAAGAACACCAGUGGCGAGGGCGGCUCACUGGACUGGUAUUGACGCUGAGGUGCGAAAGCGUGGGGAGCAAACAGGG